GCAAUAGCAAACAUCACAAAGCCCAUGUGUAACCCAGCUUCACGGUCCUGCACGUCCAACACAAUUAAAAUAAAAAAAAGGCUCCGUUGAAGAGGUGCAACAUAUGUAGUUGGUGAUGAAGGGCUGCUGCCACGUCCCAGAGAGAUCCAGCUGUGGAGAUUAAUUGCAAAAGCAGGUUCCAGCAUAAUGGAGGAAGGCUGUUACGGUGCUUCAUCCGGGGAACACGUGCAGGCCUUGAGCAGCAUCACCGUCAAGCAGAUCACGGCCCAGCAAAGGCAAAGGCCAGCAGCUGCAGCAUCAAGGGGGUGUGCGUCCAGCAAUCAACCACCAGGUCCAGCACUCCAUGCAGCACACGCUGCAUUCAUUUACUUGACAAAUAAAGGGCUGUUACGGCCCAUGAAAGCUGCAGUCCAGCUUGAGUAGCUUACGGUGCAGUUAAAGAAAAGCUGGAAGCAUCAUGGCCCAGCUCCCUCCAUGCACACAGCAAAAAACUACUACAACACGACCCAUAUAUGUUCAGCAGCAUUCCUUCACCACGAUUCAACAUCCACGAUGGAAUCACUUGGGCUUGAAGUUGUGCUGAUUCCAGGAGGCAGCCCAUGAAGACACGACCCAAUAGCUCCACACGGUCUGGUGUUGAUGCCCACGGUCUGCACUCAACGACCAUCAUCCAGCUCUUGAGAAGGUGCGGAAGCCUACACGGUCCAACUCCAUGUAACAGUAGAUUGAGGUGCAGUAGUUUGAAAACAAUAGGAGGUGCAAAUGUCAUUUUAUUGGGCUGAUUGUGAGGUGCACAGGUGACGUCUCUACUGCAGCGUCAAAGAGCAAGGGAGAGCUCCUUGCUUGCUUCACCAGCAAUUGGGCUUGGAGAAGUUUUGGAGCAGCUAGAUCCAUCCGUGAGUAGCAGCCAUGCUGGCAGUAGGGUAGAGGAGGCUCUCGGGAUUUUUGGGGAGCUGGCAACGUGAAAAGGAGGAGAUACUGUUACAUUGGCCGCCACUUGUUAGAGGGUCUCGGAGAGUGAUAUUUUUGAUUGCUGGAAACAGCACACAGGUUGGCAAUGGAGGGGUAUGGGUGAAGAUAGAAGUGGACGAUGAUUUCAGCAAAGGGAAAAGAAACACUUCCAAUUUUCCUUAUAGUAGUAGGCGCUGUUUUUCUUUUGAUUGAAAUUUAAUUUCAGAAGCUAUGUCACAUGAGAUUCGCUUUAGAGGAUAUUCACACGUCCAUUGUUGAAGGGGGCGGUUGUCACAUCUUGAGGAGAGAGUUUUAAUAGUUUUUUUUUUUUUAUAUUCUAUUUCAAGCUUAGACCAAGGAUUGUCUUUUUAUUCAGCAUUUGGAAUUACAUUUACAACCGC
rnacentral:lncRNA from 1 species